CUUGAACUAAAAAACUAAACAGCUUUCACCGAAAUGCAUCCUGUACUAAGAGGACUAGUUUACAUAGCAUGUAAAAGGAAAGGUCUGACACACUAAGCUACACUGAGACUGUAAACAUACACAGCUUGACACCAAGAUACAGUUGAGUGUUUACUACAACAGCUAAUGUUCAUCUACUCCUGAAGUGUCUACGUGAUUUUUGAGUGUGCCUGUAAUUAGGAGCAAACAAGAAAAACAAAGAAAUACUUUUCUUCAAAACAAACCUUAGAAAAAAAAAACGAAUGGAAAUGUUCGAUUUCAUCGAAGAAUGGAAAAUGGGAGAAAAAAAACGUGUAGAAAAGUUUGUGACAGACAGACAGACUGAGUGGAUAGAAGCUUGGUAAGGAUCUGGCCGAAUCUCUUCAGCUCAAAUGUAGGUCGUAUUUUUUACGUGUCUUGUAGUUUAAAAAACUAUUAACAAUUUAAUAACUAAUUAAAUUGUAAUAUGUAUUCUAAGCUGUUGGUGGAGAUUUUCAUCAACGGCGGAAAAAAAAACUAUAAAUAGCAAGCGUUUUGUUUCUUGGUGUA